rnacentral:tRNA from 2 species
AGGGGUGUAGCUCAAUUGGCAGAGUGGCGGUCUCCAAAACCGUAGGUUGGGGGUUCGAUCCCCUCCACCCCUG